rnacentral:rRNA from 1 species
GGGAAUAUUGCACAAUGGGCGAAAGCCUGAUGCAGCAACGCCGCGUGAAGGAAGACGGUUUUCGGAUUGUAAACUUCUAUCAAUAGGGAAGAAAGAAAUGACGGUACCUAAAUAAGAAGCCCCGGCUAACUAAGUGCCAGCAGCCGCGGUAAUACGUAGGGGGCAAGCGUUAUCCGGAAUUACUGGGUGUAAAGGGAGAGUAGGCGGCAAGGUAAGCGAUAUGUGAAAGCCUUAAGCUUAACUUAAGGAUUGCAUAACGAACUAUCUAGCUAGAGUACAGGAGAGGAAAGCGGAAUUCCUAGUGUAGCGGUGAAAUGCGUAGAUAUUAGGAAGAACACCAGUGGCGAAGGCGGCUUUCUGGACUGAAACUGACGCUGAGGCUCGAAAGCGUGGGGAGCGAACAGG